UACCCUGCUAAUUCAUGCUGCCUUCU
rnacentral:piRNA from 1 species